GGUAGCGUCUAGUUUACCUUCGUGCAGAGGACCUUUGGCAGGGGACUUGGAGAGCCCGGAGAUCGAGCAACUGGCAGUGGCAACUGUUGUUGUUGUUGUUGUUGCUGUAUGUAUAUAACGGGCUGUGGUGAGGGGCUGCUGCUGCGGUGAUUUGCCUCUGCAGUGAUAGCAGAGGCAGACAGAGAAUGGAGUACCAAUACCCAUAGGGUCCAAUCUUUCAUGUCAAACCAUUAUGAAUUAUUGAAUGUAAUCAACAUCGAAGGCAGAUUACAACCUCUGCAAAGUGUCUUUAUUGACUUCCGGUUCCGACUGCUCCAUGUGAGGAAGCAGCGUUAAGGAGCUCCGUUUACAAAGCUAAUUAUUAACGAUUUCAAGGCUUCUGUGCCUAUCCUACUCAGCCAGUGACAUCCUAACACCUUCCUUACCGGACCGGCAGCGUAAUUUGAACUGGCUGUCUCAGAGGUAAUGAGCUUUGCCGUCACGGGGGUUCCGCCAGCACUGCCGCUCAUUGCGCCCUGCUCUCUCCCUUGAACGUUUCCUCCUCAGCCCAUAGUGCUCACGAAAGGCCGGUGAAGCACCCGGGGCUUCUUCACUGCAGCUCCACACCACCAGGAGCCUCUUCUCAGCACCUGACCGCUGCUCCCCUGUUUCUAUGCAGCCUUAAUGGGGGAGAGCCGCGGCCGCCAUCUUGUCAAGUGACUCAGCUCUCACAGCCGCUCCCAGGUCCCUGCACGACUCUCUUGCAGGUACUCCUGCCACCACACACAGUUGUCUUGAUCAGAGCAGCUCCUGCUAUACCUCACCUGAAGCCCCACACCACCCUAUCCCAACUUAUCCCUGCUCCUGAUUCUCAAUAAGUCAGUCUGGCACCACACAUCUCGCAGAGCCAGCCAAAUACUCUUGCUCACUCCAGUCACUCCAAAUCUAACUUGUUAAACUAGAAGCAUCUUAUUCUUUUGCACAAUUUUUUAAAAAUACAUAAGUAUGCCAAUAAAUCAAGUAAAUUAAUGUAAAAUCUUCUUAAAAGGUACUCAUACUCCCUCCAUCAUUCAUCCAUUAAAAAAGAAAGAAGGUAAUCUCACUACCUCUAACCAGCAGAUAGCCUCUGUUUUGAAAGUCUUCUAUGAAUCUCUGUAUUCAUCCCCUGUUUCGGAUAGGUACACUGCCCUUGAAUUAUGGUCAGAUCUUCCGAUACCGCAAUUAUCGAGUAUAGAUGGUAAGUCUUUGGUUGCUGAUAUAUCCCAGCAGGAAGUUUCACUUGUGAUUUCACGCCUCAAACUAGGCAAAGCCCCAGGCCCAGACGGCUUCACUCCCGAAAUUUAUAAAUUAAUGGCUUCGGACGUAUCUCUGGUAUUAGAGAGAGUUUAUAACGCCCUCUUAACAUCGGGCCAAAUGCCAACUUAUUUCAACACAGAUUCUGCUGAAACUUGGCAGCGACCUGUCUGAUCCCGGGUCAUACCGCCCAAUAUCGCUUCUUAAUAAUGAUUAUAAAAUUCUCACUAAGAUACUGGCGGACAGACUGAAACUUAUUCUACCAGCCUUAAUACACUGGGAUCAGACAGGUUUCAUCUCAGGAAGGAAUCCAGUAACAAAUAUUUGCAGAGUCCUAGCUACAAUAUAUGAUUCUCAGUGCACUGUGUCGGACACUCCCAGAGCAAUAUUAUCAUUAGACGCCGAAAAGGCUUUCGACAUGGUGCACUGGUAUCAUCUCUUUGACACCAUGUACCAUAUUGCUAUUCCUACUAAAUUUAUUUCUAUACUUAAAACUCUACAUAAGGACUCUGCUUCGAGAAUUAUAUGUAAUGGGUCGAUGUCAGACCCCCUCUCUAUACAGCAAAUUUGGAAAAAGAGAGGAAUCUGUAUUGUUGAUGCAUGUAAGAAGAAAAACUUGUAUCGAAUAAAAAUAUAACCUUUA